AGUGAACGCUGGCGGUAGGCCUAACACAUGCAAGUCGAACGGCAGCACAGUAAGAGCUUGCUCUUACGGGUGGCGAGUGGCGGACGGGUGCGGAAUACAUCGGAAUCUACUUUUUCGAGGGGGAUAACGUAGGGACACUUACGCUAAUACCGCAUACGACCUACGGGUGAAAGCAGGGGAUCUUCGGACCUUGCGCGAUUGAAUGAGCCGAGGUCGGAUUAGCUAGUUGGCGGGGUAAAGGCCCACCAAGGCGACGAUCCGUAGCUGGUCUGAGAGGAUGAUCAGCCACACUGGAACUGAGACACGGUCCAGACUCCUACGGGAGGCAGCAGUGGGGAAUAUUGGACAAUGGGCGCAAGCCUGAUCCAGCCAUACCGCGUGUGUGAAGAAGGUCUUCGGAUUGUAAAGCCCUUUUGUUGGGAAAGAAAAGCAGCAAGUUAAUACCCCGCUGUUCUGACGUUACCCAAAGAAUAAGCACCGGCUAACUUCGUG
rnacentral:rRNA from 1 species